ACAUGCAGUCGAGCGGACAGAUAAGGAGCUUGCUCCUUUGACGUUAGCGGCGGACGGGUGAGUAACACGUGGGCAACCUGCCCCUUAGACUGGGAUAACUCCGGGAAACCGGAGCUAAUACCGGAUAAUCCCUUUCUCCACCUGGAGAGAGGGUGAAAGAUGGCUUCGGCUAUCACUAAGGGAUGGGCCCGCGGCGCAUUAUCUAGUUGGUAAGGUAACGGCUUACCAAGGCAACGAUGCGUAGCCGACCUGAGAGGGUGAUCGGCCACACUGGGACUGAGACACGGCCCACACUCCUACGGGAGGCAGCAGUAGGGAAUCUUCCGCAGUGGACGAAAGUCUGACGGAGCAACGCCGCGUGAGUGAGGAAGGCCUUCGGGUCGUAAAGCUCUGUUGUGAGGGAAGAAGCGGUACCGUUCGAAUAGGGCGGUACCUUGACGGUACCUCACCAGAAAGCCACGGCUAACUACGUGCCAGCAGCCGCGGUAAUACGUAGGUGGCAAGCGUUGUCCGGAAUUAUUGGGCGUAAAGCGCGCGCAGGCGGCUUCUUAAGUCUGAUGUGAAAUCUCGGGGCUCAACCCCGAGCGGCCAUUGGAAACUGGAGAGCUUGAGUGCAGAAGAGGAGAGUGGAAUUCCACGUGUAGCGGUGAAAUGCGUAGAGAUGUGGAGGAACACCAGUGGCGAACGCGACUCUCUGGUCUGUAACUGACGCUGAGGCGCGAAAGCGUGGGGAGCANACAGGAUUAGAUACCCUGGUAGUCCACGCCGUACACGAUGAGUGCUAGGUGUUAGGGGUUUCGAUGCCCGUAGUGCCGAAGUUACACAUUA
rnacentral:rRNA from 2 species